rnacentral:rRNA from 1 species
UGGAUGAACCUCUUUAGAGGUUCGUGGUAGGAGAGCGUUCUAAGGGCGGUGAAGUCAGACCGGAAGGACUGGUGGAGCGCUUAGAAGUGAGAAUGCCGGUAUGAGUAGCGAAAGAAGGGUGAGAAUCCCUUCCACCGAAUAUCUAAGGUUUCCUGAGGAAGGCUCGUCCGCUCAGGGUUAGUCGGGACCUAAGCCGAGGCCGAUAGGCGUAGGCGAUGGACAACAGGUAGAGAUUCCUGUACCAGUGCUAAUUGUUUAACCGAUGGGGUGACACAGAAGGAUAGGGAAUCGCACGAAUGGAAAUGUGCGUCCAAGCAGUGAGUGUGAGAAGUAGGCAAAUCCGCUUCUCGCGAAGCAUGAGCUGUGAUGGGGAAGGAAAUUAAGUACGGAAGUUCCUGAUUUCACGCUGUC